rnacentral:rRNA from 1 species
AUUGAACGCUGGCGGCGUGCCUUAUACAUGCAAGUCGAGCGACCGCACGAGAUUCUUCCUUCUGUGAUGUUGGCGGCGGGUGGGUGAUUAACACGUGCGUGCCCUACCUUUAAGGCUGGCCUAGCUUCAGCAAACCUAAUCCCAUACCCGACCAGAUUUUGAACCGCAUGGUCCAAAAGGGCACGACCGUCUUGCUCUGCCUAUUUGAGAGUUCCUCGUUGCAUUAGCUAGUUGGUAAGGUAACGGCUUACCAAGGCAACGAUGCAUAGCCGAUCUGAGAGGGUGAUCGGCCACACUGGAACUGAGACACGGUCCAGACUCCUACGGGAGGCAGCAGUAGGGAAUCUUCGGCAAUGGGCGAAAGCCUGACGCAGCAACGCCGCGUGAGUGAUGAAGGUCUUCGGAUCGUAAACCGCUUUUAUUAGGGAAGAAAAUAUGUGUAAGUAACUGUGGACAUCUUGACGGUACCUAAUCAGAAAGCAACGGCUAACUACGUG